rnacentral:rRNA from 1 species
AGAGUUUGAUCAUGGCUCAGGACGAACGCUGGCGGCGUGCUUAACACAUGCAAGUCGAACGAUGAACCGGUUUCGGCCGGGGAUUAGUGGCGAACGGGUGAGUAACACGUGGGUAAUCUGCCCCGCACUCUGGGAUAAGCCCGGGAAACUGGGUCUAAUACCGGAUAUACAUCGAUGGUCGCAUGGCCUGUCGGUGGAAAGCUUUUGCGGUGUGGGAUGGGCCCGCGGCCUAUCAGCUUGUUGGUGGGGUGAUGGCCUACCAAGGCGACGACGGGUAGCCGGCCUGAGAGGGUGACCGGCCACACUGGGACUGAGACACGGCCCAGACUCCUACGGGAGGCAGCAGUGGGGAAUAUUGGACAAUGGGCGGAAGCCUGAUCCAGCAACGCCGCGUGAGGGAUGACGGCCUUCGGGUUGUAAACCUCUUUCAGCACAGACGAAGCGCAAGUGACGGUAUGUGCAGAAGAAGGACCGGCCAACUACGUGCCAGCAGCCGCGGUAAUACGUAGGGUCCGAGCGUUGUCCGGAAUUAUUGGGCGUAAAGGGCUCGUAGGCGGUCUGUCGCGUCGGGAGUGAAAACCAGGUGCUUAACACCUGGCCUGCUUUCGAUACGGGCAGACUAGAGGUACUCAGGGGAGAAUGGAAUUCCUGGUGUAGCGGUGAAAUGCGCAGAUAUCAGGAGGAACACCGGUGGCGAAGGCGGUUCUCUGGGAGUAUCCUGACGCUGAGGAGCGAAAGUGUGGGGAGCGAACAGGAUUAGAUACCC